UACAGAGGGUGCGAGCGUUAAUCGGAAUUACUGGGCGUAAAGCGCACGUAGGCGGCUUGGUAUGUCGGGUGUGAAAUCCCCGGGCUCAACCUGGGAACUGCAUCCGAAACUGCCUUGCUAGAGUAUGGGAGAGGGAAGUGGAAUUUCCGGUGUAGCGGUGAAAUGCGUAGAUAUCGAGAGGAACACCUGCGGCGAAGGCGGGUAGCUGGGCCGACACUGACGCUGAUGCGCGAAAGCCAGGGGAGCGAACGGG
rnacentral:rRNA from 1 species